UAGAGGACUCAGUGAGAAGGGACAGAAAUGGCCCUAAGCACUCGGUGCCAACUGUCUCUGCUUCCACGUGUUCUCCAAACAAUCCCACUGCCUCUGGCUAACAAAACACGUGGAAGAAGGGAGCAAAGAGUCUGCAGGUCUCCCCAAGACUGGAGCUGGCAGCUGAGAGGAGCCAUGAUCCAAGUCCACACUCCAAACAGCCCUCCACCACACCCUGACCCUAUGUUUUCUCAAGAUUAGAAAAUGCAAUCAGAAAAACAGUUUGCCAGAACGGCUCUACUAGACUGGUCCCUCAGGAACAUGGCUCAGGCCCUGCCCAUAUCUACUUCCCAUUAGAGGAGACUUGCUUUGAAGCCAGCCAAGGCCAACCACCCAGAAGGAAAGGUAUCAGCCAGGGUGGGUUGGGGGGCGUCACCUCACUGACUUUGGUUUCCCCCAAAUUGACCUGAGUCUGCACAGACGGAUUUAAUGCUGACCGACAUGAGGCUGAAGUAGCGAGGCGGUUAUACACAGAGGUAUAUAACCUCAGGUAAGGAGCCUGAUCAGAGUGGCAUGUGUGGAUUACUGCGUGGUGUCAGCUGUAUCCUCCUUCCUGACGGCAGACAAAAUGGUCCCCUUCCUGGGAGUGGCUAUGCGGGUUGGCAGGCAGAGAGAGUAUCAAUAGCAGAGAUGUUUUAAAAGACCCACCCAGUGUCUUUGGGGCUUUCCAACACAAAAAGGUGUGUUUCAGUGCAGAUUCCCUAGCUGGGUCAUGGCUGGAUCUCGGUCCUGGUCUUCCCUGUGGACAGUGGCUGUCCAAGAGAAGGAUCUCCUCAAGGCUACAGAACCCAAAGCCAGAGGGCACGGAGAGUCCCAGGGCAGGCCUGAGAACCCCAGGUAAGAAGAUCUCCUCUCCAGAGCUGGGUCACUUUUAGAACCACUGGAGCUGUGGCUGGGAGAACUCAGACUACACUGAGACCCAGGGACCUCUGUACACCUCCAUCCUUUCUCCUGCCACCCUGUACUUCCAGGUAAGUCUAAUGGUUUGCACCGACUUCCUGCCUAGCCUUUGCCCUGGGGACUUAAUGUUCCUAUGAGAUGGGCACUUGGACCAUGUCUCUCCCCAUGAACGGCAGCCACCUGUGCCAGCCUCUGAGCCAGUUCUCAGCACACGCCCUCCUCCUAGAUCGGCAGACAGGUGUAAAGGCACAGGGCAGUGAGGGUGGAGCGCGACAGUCGCGUCUUCCUUGUCAGGUCGUCUGCUUGCAUGUUUCUGUUUGAUGGCUGCUGUCCUCCCAACUCCCCAAAGCCCAGAAGAAUAGGAGAUGGAAAGACCUGCUGGCAUCAUAAGCCUGCUGGUCAGCUUCAGGGGAAAGCAAACAUCGCCUGGUGACAGGGACAAGCCACACACACAAGCAGGGACACUGGAGUCAAUGCCCUCCAUCCCAGUGCAUAGCCCUCAGAACCUGGGGAAGUCUGUGGAGGUAGGAGGCAGAGGGACGGAGGACAAGGGCAGAGGGGGAGCUUGAGGGGAGCAGGGACUAUUUCUACCAACUCAUCAGUCACUAGGAAUGGUAGGAGGGUCUUGCUCCCAGGGUAGCACUGGUGAGCAAAGUGGGGAGGCCUGAAAGAAGUCAGAGGCACUAGAUCAAAGAGGGGGUUCUGGAAGGAGCGCAUGAUAUAACAUUAUAAACAACCAAAGUGGUGUACACACGGCAGUAUACGUGCACACAGAGGUUCUCUCCAUAUCCAUGGAUACGCAUCUAGCUGUGUUCUCAGAGGAUUAGAUGAGCCACUGAGUACUCAGAUCUGUUUCUAAACAUGAUUCUCAACCAGGAAGAAUCAGAAAUCCUUGAAGGGGUCGCUGAGUCCUAGCCUAAAGCCAGAAAAAUACUGAAAAAGCUGAGGCAUUGUGCUGUGCCAGGAGGGAAGGGGGUGGUCGAAGGAUGGUGGAGAAGUAUCCCAUGGCGGCCACCAGCCAAACCUACAGUGAUGUGAGCGUGAAAAUAACUAGGAAGAGGCAAAUCAUGACCUGUGGGCUUAAGGAACUGGGACCCGGUGAUAACAUAGAUAUGUGAAUGAAGUAGAUUAAAGGCCAGUACAGCUCCUAAGAAUGCACUGCCACCUAGAAGGACAGAGCAGAGCAUCACAGCAUCUCUCCUGUGGCGCGCAGGGGCGGGGGGUGCUGGCUCGUUUGGUACUUGCUAUAGUGACCAGGCUGGCCUCAAACCUGCAGCCAUUUUCCUGUCUCUGCCUCCCAAGUACUGGGAUUAUAGGCAUGAGCCAUCAUGCCAAGCUACUAACUGGCAUCUCUGUGUGAGACACAGGAAAGAAUCAACAGAUGCAGAGGCUGAAGAUGAGAAAACUGUUGUGACAUCAUACUGAAAGGCAUACAGAGGGGAGAAGACAGGAGACCUGACGAGGAGUCCAGAGGGCUCCUAGAGAGGACCUGAACCAGAGUCAGGACAGCUGGCAAAACAUGAUGUGACCAGAGUGCCAUGCCACCAGAAGUUCCUGUUUGACUCUGACAUCCAGCCUCAACUUUCUCACAUGUUGCUCUUGUGGCAAGACAAGGGCAUUUCUGCUGGAUCACCUGUUCUGCCCUGCCCGUCUCCACCCGACUCGGGAUCUGCUCCUCACAGGCCCUCACAGCUGAGCAGAUGAGCAGCCGAAUCCCUUGCCUUCCCUAGCCCCAGUAGAAGCUGGCCCUGCCCUACGUCUGAGGUGCCCUAUGCUGCCAGCACCCAGGCUCCUGUCAUCCGUGCCACCCCGGACUCUCCCCAGAUCCAGCAGAGGACCGAAGAAGGUGCUGCAUACAUGGCAUUGGCGGUGACCAGAAGGUCAGCGUUGUCAAAGAGGGUGACGCCG